UGGGGAAUAUUGCACAAUGGGCGCAAGCCUGAUGCAGCCAUGCCGCGUGUAUGAAGAAGGCCUUCGGGUUGUAAAGUACUUUCAAUCGGGAGGAAGGUGGUAAGGUUAAUAACCUUAUCAAUUGACGUUACCGACAGAAGAAGCACCGGCUAACUCCGUGCCCGCAGCCGCGGUAAAACGGAGGGUGCAAGCGUUAAUCGGAAUUACUGGGCGUAAAGCGCACGCAGGCGGUUGAUUGAGUCAGAUGUGAAAUCCCCGGGCUUAACCCGGGAAUUGCAUCUGAUACUGGUUAGCUAGAGUCUUGUAGAGAGGGGUAGAAUUCCAUGUGUAGCGGUGAAAUGCGUAGAGAUGUGGAGGAAUACCGGUGGCGAAGGCGGCCCCCUGGACAAAGACUGACGCUCAGGUGCGAAAGCGUGGGGAGCAAACAGG
rnacentral:rRNA from 1 species